UGUACAUAGUAUCAGGAAGGAAAAAAGGUGUAUGACCAGUAGCUCAUUCAAUGCCAUCCAGGCACAGCCGCUGUCCUCUACGGCAUUUACCCUCUUCAUCUCCAGAGCGGCAACCGUCUCGGCACUCUCAUCGAGAUGGACAACCGCAUUCUUGGCACUUCCAUUGUGCCGUUCAUUCUUCGCGGCAUUCUCUUUCUCCUUCCCGUGUAUAAAGUAUCAGGAAGGAAAAAAAGCCGUGUACAACUUCUGCUUCUCCAUCCUCAAAUUCUUCGGAGGGUUCUACCUCCGAAUUGUCCCGACAACAGCGGUUCGAUGACUACGAAUGUAAGUUCAAAGAGAUCGAUUGUCAGCUUGUCUGACUUCAGGUGGAAGGUCAGAAAUCUUUCAAUGACUAUGAUUUUCGUACUGCCCAACCUCUCUCUCAGCACAUACUGGAUAAAUCGAUUUCUGUCUCGAUUCAAGAUGCCAUAGAUGGAGCCAUACGAUGGCUUCACCGAUUCAAUCGAUCAUUUGGAGAGUUAUAAGGCUCUCAUAAUGAUUCAGAGGACAAUCGACGUCCUCUUAUGCAUUGGUCCCGACAACUAUUCGAAAGGCUGUUCGAGCCUAGUAUUUUAGGCUUCAGCUGAGGAGUAUCAACUCCUUCGAGCAGCUCGAGCAUUCUUUCGUGAUC
rnacentral:lncRNA from 1 species